UGACACAGCAGGCAUGGUAACCACGGGCACAAUCAAGAAUAAUUUUGUUUACUGCCAAAUACAUACCCUGAAACACAUUCUCACAGUGAGAGAAGAGAGAACACGAGUAUACGAAAGGAAUAAAACACCAUAUCGAAUUGGCAGAAUGUGACAAGCGUGAGAAAGAAGAGAAAGAAAAUAAACAGAGGAAUGGAACACACAGGACAAGGUUCACACGGUGAUCAGGUGUGUCACCUGGUGGAAAAAAGAAAGGAUAAAGAGCCUGCGUAUAGAGAGAAGAAAGGCAGAACAAAAUCAAAGGAUGAAAAGGGAUGGAGGGAAUGGGAGAGGUGAAGUGCACACAAAAUGAGCAAAAUAAAACAGAGGAUGUUGUCCAAACUGAAAAGGGCUUUUUAAAGCUGCCCUCCCCUCUUAACUGCUCUUCAAGCCUGUGUGAAUGCUCUAUCUUUCUGUUCUCAAGCUUAGGAUACAAAGAGAGCGGACGGAGAGCAGCAAAUAGACGAAAGAAAUUAGGGCUGUAUCAGGACAAUAAGAAUGGAGUUGUUUGACUAAGAAAGUUUGCAAAUUGGCGAAUUGGCAACAUUAAAAUGGAUGUACGAUACACAAUAAAUAUGCAGGAUGUAUAGGUGGAGAAAGUGGAUUAUCUUUAUGUAAUUUUUUUAUUGCCACACAAACAGGGUCAGUGAUGUUUAUUUCCACAACUUUUUAACGCAAUGUCACCAUAGAUUGUUGCCAUAUUAAAUAAAUACAAUAUGAACCUGUCUGUUUGUUUGCUUGUUUAUGUAAAGCACAAGCAAACGUAUUGUUCUGCGAAUUAUAUGUGAGUGCAAUUAUGAAUCCAGAUUUAACAUUUACUUUUAUAUCUAGUCUAAUUCAGUUUCUUCUGAUUAAAUAAAAGCUGUAAUGUUCUCUGUGCAUGUGUGUGGUUUUCCUCUCAAACAAUCAUGCUGAGCACAUUACAGUACUUACAACUGCUCUUUAUGCUCCUUAGAGACUUACACACACACACACACACACACACACACACACACACACACAGAGAGAGAGAGAGAGAGAGAGAGAGAGAGAGAGAGAGAGAGAGAGAGAGAGAGAGAGUCUUCCACUGCCCACAGUGUUGGUCAGUGUGCCUGAAUUCCCCUCAGCAGCUCAUAUCUCACACAGUAUGACCUCAUACCAUCCUACACACACAUACAUACACACAUUUAUAUAUACACGCAGACACACACUUAAACUAGUGAGCUAACUCAAAAGAAUGGCAGACAGUAAGAAAAGGGGUCAAAACAUUCUACCCACAGUGUUGAACAUGCCACAAUGCACUACUGUCUUCCAUUUCCUCCCCCAUUCUUUUUUUUUUUUUUUUCUCCUUUUUCAUUUAAAAGGGUUUUUGCUGGACUGAGAGACAGGCAUACAAUAGCGUUUGUUUCUCAUAAGAAAAGGGAUUAAAAGUGACCAUGGUGCCACACCACACAACAAUUUCUUUUUCCGUCUUGCACUGGUGACAAUGCACUGCCACCUACUGGAUGAAUAACACAUUACAGAAGACUGCAGCCUUCUUGAGUUUACUUCACCCCCAAAAAAAAAAAAAAAAAAAAAAAAACGAUGUUAAAAUACUUUCUCCUAUCCCAGCUUAAUAUAGUAAGCAGGUUCAUUUCACAAAUGUUCACAUACGUUCAUUCAUAGGUUAUCACUGAUGCAUGGUGUUUACAGUAGAAAGUGUUUUAACAUUAAAGAAAAAUGACACACUUCACCUUUAAAUCAGGGGAACACUACUAAUACCUCUGCUAUGCUUAUGACAUUCAAUUCUAUACAGUGUCUCUCAUUCCCCCUAUCUGUGUAUCUGCAAUCUAAGACAGCACCUUUACAUGGCUUAUGGACGUCUCAAAAUUAAAGGCUGCUAAAGUCACUCCUCCCUAACUAGACUACCACACAUCCCCUUGAACACUAAAAUGUUGCUGCUUGGCUCGUUUUUAAUCUGUAAAAUGCAUGUCCAUUACAAGUCCCUUUAUUGGAACUUAAAGGAACAGUUCACCCAAAAAUGAAAAUGCUGUAAUUAUUUACUCACCCUCAUGUUGUUCUAAGCCCAUAAGACUUUCCUCUGUGGAACACAAAUGAAAAUAUUUUUAAGGACUUUUCGUUUGUUGAUUUCAAUUCAAUUGCAGUUGAUUGUAACUCACUUUAAAGCUUUAAAACGUAGAUUUUCUAAAACUGUUAUUCACAUUGGCACUAACGAUGUUGUCCGGCUUCGCCAGUCGGAGAUCACUAGAAAUAAAGUUAAAGAGGUGUGUGAACUUGCAAAAACGAUGUUAGACACCAUAAUAUGCUAUGGCCCCCUCCCUGCUUGUCGUGGUGAUGAGGUUUAUAGUAGAUUAGGGUCACUGAACGGCUGGAUGUCUGAGUGGUGUCCAGAGAAAAGCAUAGGAUUUAUAGACAAUUGGAAGAGUUUUUGGGAUAGACCUGACCUGCUAAAGAGAGACAGACUCCAUCCCUCUAGGGAAGGUGCCGCUCUCCUCUCUAUUAAUUUGGCUCAUGUUCUUAAUAGUGAUAGUAUUUGACUAACUGGGGCUCAGUUCAGGAAGCAGAAAAACUGGUUAAUCUGAACACCUGCUAGCCACCUUGAGACAUCAAACAGGUUACAUAAACUACAACACAUAGAGACUGUAUCACCAAGAUAUAGAGACUGUGUCUGUUCCCUGAACUACCAAACACAAACCCCUCACUAAAUCAUUUAGAAAAAAAUGUAUUAAGGUCAAACUAAAAAAAAUAUUGAAGAUGAACAUCAUAUAAUGUUAGGGCUAAUAAACAUCAGAUCUCUUUCUACCGAAACACUAAUUGUAAAUGAAAUUAUUACAGAUCAUAGUUUGGAUGCGCUCUGCUUGACUGAAACCUGGCUUAAACCGGAUGAAUAUAUUAGUUUAAAUAAAUCUACUCCCCCAUGUUAAUGUUAUAAACAUGAGCCUCGUCUGAAGGGUCGAGGAGGAGGAGUUGCUACAAUUUACAGUGACGUUUUUGGUGUUACUCAGAGGACAGGAUAUAAGUUUAAGUCUUUUGAAGUAAUAAUGCUUAAUGUGACACCGUCAGAUACAAAUAAAAAAUCUCUGUCGUCUUUUGCCUUUGCUACAGUAUAUAGAUCACCCAGGCCGUUUUCUGAUUUCCUUGGUGAAUUUGCAAAUUUUCUAUCUGAUCUAAUAGUUACUGUGUAAUGAAGUUCAGGAAUGAGGACGCGGGAGACAGUGAUUCCAACUCAGGAAUGUCACUCUUUUAUUCACAAAAAUAAACAUGUUUGCUUAUAGCGCAACAGUGAAGCUUCAAUUCACACACUCAAAAGUUGCAACACGGCAGCGGCCAACACACAAACAGCUUCUCAGCUGGGCUCUCUCUCUCGACUGCCACUGUCUCCUCUCCUUAAAAGUCCCAAUCACUCCUCACUGAAACACAAGACAGGUAUUAAGCACAGAUGGAAAUCAUUCACCACUCCUCUCCCCUGCUUCACUCUCCACAGCACGGCGCUCAGCCACGCCUCCGCCUCCACAUACUGUUGUUGGUGGCUUCAACAUUCACAUAGAUAAUGAAAAUGACACAUUAGCAUUUAUCGAUUUUCUCAACUCUCUUGGAGUCAGACAAAAUGUGACAGGACCAACUCAUCACCAUAAUCAUACGCUAGAUUUAAAUCUGUCAUAUGGGGUUGAUGUUGAUACUAAAUUCUACCGCAGAGCGAUGACAUCCCAAAUCAUUACCUCAUCUCUUGUUUUCUGCGAUCUGCUAAUGUCACUCAAUCUACACCACGCUAUUAUUCAGGUAGAACAUUUCUUUCAACCACUAAAUAUAGCCUCACUAAAAAUCUUCCAGAAUUGUCUCACAUACUCAGUUAGCCAAAAAGUCUAGAAGAACUUGACGUAAUAACAGAAAAUCUUCUUAAUAUUAAUAACUCCUUGCUAUCCUUAGGACAUGUCCCAAGAAACUUUAAAAUGGCAGUUAUUAAACUGCUUAUUAGAAGCCGCAGCUUAAACCUGGAGAGUUAGCUAAUUAUAGACUGAUUUCAAAUCUCCCAUUUAUGUUGAAAAUACUAGAAAAGGUAGUGUCCUCCCAACUAUGUUCAUUUCUACAGAGAAAUUGUAUAUAUUAACAUUUUCAGUCAGGACUUAGGCCCCAUCGCAGUACAGAGACUGCACUUAUCAGAGUUACAAAUGACUUGCUCUGAUCAUCUGAUCGCAGCUGCAUUUCUCUUCUAGUGCUUUUAGACCUUAGUGCUGCCUUCGACACCAUAGAUCACAACAUUCUCUUGAAUAGGCUGGAGAAUUAUGUUGGCAUUUGUGGACUUGCAAUAGCAUGGUUUACGUGCUAUUUAACAGACCGCUACCACUUUCUAUGUGUAAACAUGGAAUUGUCAAAUCAAACAAAAAGUAUGGAGCACCACAGGGAUCAGUUUUAGGGCCUCUGCUUUUCUCCUUAUAUAUGCUUCUCCUGGGAGAUAUUAUAUGGAAUCGUGGAAUAAGUUUCCAUUGUUAUGCCAACGAUACCCAACUUUAUUUCUUCUAAACCCGACGAAAUUUCACAAUUCUCCAAAUUAGCAGAGUGUAUCAGUAAAAUCAAAGAUUGGAUGGCCAGAAUGGUCCUUCUACUCAAUAACCCAUUUUAUCAUCGUUACAUUGGCUACCUGUUAAAUUUUGUAUUAAUUUUAAAAUUCUGUUAACUACAUACAAAAGCUUUGAAUGGUCUAGCUCCACAGUACUUAAGUGACCUUCUGUCACGCUAUAUUCCAUCAUGUUAUUUAUGAUCACAAAAUUCGGGCCUGUUAAUAGUUCCUAGGAUAUCAAAAUUAGAGCCUGACCGAUAUGGAAUUUCUGAGACCAAUACCAAUUUUAGAGGGGGGAAAAAAAAUAAAAAAAUAAAUAAAAAUACAAUAAAUAGCUAAAUAAACAUCAGUACUGUAUGUUCAGUAUCAGUCAGUUGCUGACCAUUUAAAUAAAGAAUCAAUUAAAAUUAUAGCUAAAUAAAAAUCAGUACUGUAUGUUUAGUAUCAGUCAAUGGCUGACCAUUUAAAUAAAGAAUAAAUUCAAAUAAAAUAAAUAGCUAAUUAAACAUCAGUACUGUUUAGUAUCAGUCAAUUGCUGAUCAUUUAAAUAAAGAAUAAAAAAAUAGCUAAAUAAACAUCAGUAGUACUGUUUAGUAUCAGUCAAUUGCUGACUGUUUUAAUGCUGCCAAAACAGUCUCAAACAACAACUCAUGGUUCCCUGCUGCCGAGUCAAGAGAUAAACAGCGGCAUACGCCAUAUUCUGCUAUACAAGUUUAGGGGAAACUUUCGACGGUGGAAAACCAGACUUUUAAAUAUUACAUUGUGUAAAUGCAAAGAUUGGAAUUGUUCGGUCGAAGGGGGUACCAAACUGCAAAUCCUGAACAAAACAGUUUGGUGAAUACAUGUAUGUACAAGGUAUGGAAGUAGCUACGUGGUUAGCUAGUUAACUAUAAGCUCAUUGUCACAGAGAGUAAAAGAUGGACGUUGUUUAUUUGCUUUCCAGCAUUGCGUCUCACCAACUAGGUAAUAACUAGUGUGAAAUUAACACUUAACAGACACAAUCCACCACCGCACCAUUGUCUGAUGAUCAAUCUGCUACAUUACUGACUGCACUGACAAACUAUAGCUGGCUAAAAGCAAACAGAUGUGAUAAACAUGAGUGACAUAGUUGUCAGGGACAGGCUUAACGUUAUAUUAGUUAUAUUGAAAAGUGAAAAUGAUGGGGUCAUUGUUUAUUAACUUUCCAGUAUGUAAUUCACAAACUAGUAAGCAACUUAUCAGUAAGACAACGCUUAACUCCGCACAGUCAGCAGAACCACCGGCAGCUCAGCUCUGUAAACAAUGGAGUCAGAGCGCGCUCUACUGGACAAACUAUGUUAUGACACCAAUUCUAAAUCACCCCAAGCAUUUUUUCUGCAUUAUAUGUUCUGAAAAAAAAGUUUUCAUAUCUGCGCAUAUCGGAAAAGAUAUACACCGAUACCGAUAUAUCUGUGAAAGGCUAAUAUCGGCCGACCGAUAAAUCGGUCGGGCACUAAUCAAAAUCCACAAAAGGAAGUAAAUCCUUUUACUAUUUGUCUCUUAAACUAUGGAAUAGUCUCCCUAACACUGUUCGGGACGCAGACACACUCACUCAGUUUAAGUCUAGACUAAAGACUCAUCUAUUUAACCAGGCAUACACCUAAUUUAUUCAUCAACUCACAAUUAGGCUGCUUUAGUUAGGUCUGCUGGAACCAGAAACAUUUUUCAUAAUCUAUAACUCUGCAAUAAAUUGAAUGGCAUCUACGCUAAUAUUAUUCUAUUUGUUUCCCUGUCUCAACCUUGGGAUUCAUAUCCUGAGGUUACCAGAGCCGGCCAGAUCCAGCUCCGUUCCUGCUUGGUGUCGGACUCCACUGCUACGUGUCGUUGAGUGAUGAUGACAAACUACAGCCAGUACUAGCCAAACAUCACUUCAGUCUUUUAUGAUGGACUUUAGAGGAUGAACUAAUGCCAACUCCAACUGUAAAACAUUAGAUACUUCAUAUGCCACUGCCUAAACCUUGGACUUGGGAUGGACCCCACCGAACCUCACCAAAAUGACCUGCCGGUUGAACUGCGAUGCACCUCAUUGAUCUCUACCUGCAUCACCUUUGUCUAUUGAUGGACUACACUCUUAAAAUGGAAUACAUAGACUAUCAAUUAAUUGCCAACAAAAGCCUUCAUCAGCCAACUAACAAAGUACAAUGCAUCUAUGUGAACUUCUGCAGCUAAUCCAGGAUGAACUUCAAAGACAUUAGUCAUUAAUCUUACAGUUCAUACAAAAUCUUUGUUUAAACACUGGCCCUUAACUCUUACUUAGUUUACCAAUUUUAAACCAUGACUUGCACUGCACAAAAAUAACUAAUAUUGGCAUUAUAUUCAUGCUGUUAGCCAGAGGGAAACUGGCCACCACAGUAAACCUGGUUUCUCCCAAGGUUAUUUUUCUCCAUUAACCAACAUCUUAUGGAGUUUUGCGUUCCUUACCACAAUCGCCUUUGGCUUGCUCACUGGGGUUCUAAAUACAAUUAUUAUUUAAUUAUGCAUUAUUAAACUCAAUUUACAAUAAUAUUUAAUCAAAUGACACAAUGAUCACUCUAAGACUUUAUAGAUAUUACAGUUUCAUUUUCUGUUAAUGCAUGGUUUUCUGUAAAGCUGCUUUGAAAUGAUGUGUGUUGUGAAAAGUGCUAUACAAAUAAAACUUUCUUGACUUUAAAAAGCA